GACGAACGCUGGCGGCGUGCCUAAUACAUGCAAGUAGAACGCACAGUUUAUACCGUAGCUUGCUACACCAUAGACUGUGAGUUGCGAACGGGUGAGUAACGCGUAGGUAACCUGCCUGGUAGCGGGGGAUAACUAUUGGAAACGAUAGCUAAUACCGCAUAAUAUUAAUUAUCGCAUGAUAAUUAAUUGAAAGGUGCAAUUGCACCACUACCAGAUGGACCUGCGUUGUAUUAGCUAGUAGGUGAGGUAACGGCUCACCUAGGCGACGAUACAUAGCCGACCUGAGAGGGUGAUCGGCCACACUGGGACUGAGACACGGCCCAGACUCCUACGGGAGGCAGCAGUAGGGAAUCUUCGGCAAUGGACGAAAGUCUGACCGAGCAACGCCGCGUGAGUGAAGAAGGUUGUCGGAUCGUAAAGCUCUGUUGUAAGAGAAGAACGGGUGUGAGAGUGGAAAGUUCACACUGUGACGGUAUCUUACCAGAAAGGGACGGCUAACUACGUG
rnacentral:rRNA from 1 species